UGAAGCUGGUUUCUUGUUUCUUCUGUUUUCUUCUCAUCUUCUCUGAAGCUUAAACUCCUGAUUGAAGUCUUGAUGUCAGCUGAUAGUCAGAGAACUCUUUUCCUGUCUGAGAGCUUUGUUUCAUUGGUUUAGAAGGAAACACAGAGAAUUCCCUCCUGACUGGAUUGAUUUGGGAACAUGUUCAAUGUUUGUUCUAAUAAAGAGAUCGGAAGAGAGU